rnacentral:tRNA from 1 species
GCUUUUAAAGGAUAACAGUCUAUCCACUGGUCUUAGGAACCAAAAAUUCUUGGUGCAAAUCCAAGUAAAAGCU